rnacentral:rRNA from 1 species
GAUGAACGCUGGCGGCGUGCCUAAUACAUGCAAGUCGAGCGAACAGACGAGGAGCUUGCUCCUCUGACGUUAGCGGCGGACGGGUGAGUAACACGUGGAUAACCUACCUAUAAGACUGGGAUAACUUCGGGAGACCGGAGCUAAUACCGGAUAAUAUAUUGAACCGCAUGGUUCAAUAGUGAAAGACGGUUUUGCUGUCACUUAUAGAUGGAUCCGCGCCGCAUUAGCUAGUUGGUGAGGUAACGGCUUACCAAGGCAACGAUGCGUAGCCGACCUGAGAGGGUGAUCGGCCACACUGGAACUGAGACACGGUCCAGACUCCUACGGGAGGCAGCAGUAGGGAAUCUUCCGCAAUGGGCGAAAGCCUGACGGAGCAACGCCGCGUGAGUGAUGAAGGUCUUCGGAUCGUAAAACUCUGUUAUUAGGGAAGAACAAAUGUGUAAGUAACUAUGCACGUCUUGACGGUACCUAAUCAGAAAGCCACGGCUAACUACGUG